AACGAACGCUGGCGGCAGGCCUAACACAUGCAAGUCGAACGGUGUAUAUGAGCAAUCGUAUACAUAGUGGCGAACGGGUGAGUAACGCGUUGGUGACCUGCCCCGAAGAGGGGGAUAACAGUUCGAAAGGACUGCUAAUACCCCAUGUGGUCAUAGAGGUUAGAGGCUUUAUGACUGAAGGAGCAAUUCGCUUCGGGAGGGGCCUGCGUCCCAUCAGCUAGUUGGUAAGGUAAAGGCUUACCAAGGCGAAGACGGGUAGGGGACCUGAGAGGGUGAUCCCCCACACUGGCACUGAAACACGGGCCAGACACCUACGGGUGGCAG
rnacentral:rRNA from 1 species